CUGCAACCCUUCAAUGGAACAUCAGGCUCAACAACGAUUCCUACAAAAUAAUUCGAGUGCAGAUUACAUGUGGUUUAAGAAAGGAGAUUCUGGUGACUUAUAGACCGCCGUUGUUAGUUGCCGGAAGAAGUUCUCCUGGUCUCUUCUCCAACCCUUUCUUUAGGUUUAAGGAAUUAAUUAUUCACUCUUUGUUGGUGGUGGUUUGAUUAGACACCAGACAGGUCGAUGGUGUUAGCCGUUAGGUUCCAGCGACACAGGUAUGGUUAGGAUUCGGUGGUGGUUGAGGGUGUUCUAUGGCGGACAAUGAACAGAAGGGUGGGGUUCCGGUGAGUCGAACUUGACACGGAUGGCGAGGGAUUCCAUCAAUGGAAGGUUUAAGGUUUCGGGAUUUAGGGUUCCGCUACUUCUGCAGUUCUCGCUCCAUUUGCGCAGGUAUAGUUUUCUUUCAUUUUCUUUUAACAAAAGCACUUGCUUUGGUAAUUUGGGUGAAAUCAUGUUGAGAUUUUAGAGAUUAUGCACAUCUGAUGCAACACUUGCAUUGAUCAUUUGUGCUUCGUUUAAGAUAUGCUUAACGCUGGUGAUACAGAUCAAGUUGACCUAGCAGGUGAACUCGUACAAGACUGAAACGAUGAUGGGUAUGUCGACAAACAAAAGCCAAGCAGUUGACUCAAGAGAUUAGUUUUAGGGAUAGAAAAGCCUUGACUCCAAUUAACAGAUUACAGAAUCAGAAUCAUAAAAGAAUAUGGGAAGUUCGAUAUGAUUAUCAACAAGACAGACCUCAAAAGGAGGUAAUGGUCAGUCAUAAAUGUGCAGAGGGUGUUUUUCAAGGUGCUCAGGAAAUGUUGGCGAACCCGAGUUUGUUGCUUUUGGAUGAGCCGACUUCAGGGCUGGACUCUACCACGGCUCUUCGGUUAAUGGCCACGUUGAAUGGGUUGGCUAGAGGAGGGAGGAGUGUGGUCACCACAAUCCAUCAGCCAUCAAGUAGGCUGUAUUGGAUGUUUGAUAAGGUUGUGGUAUUGUCUGAUGGCAGCUCAAUUUACUAUGGUUGUUCGGGUUAGGUUAUGGAGUAUCUUGCAUCCAUUGGGUAUGUGCCAGGGUUUAAUUUGAUGAACUCAGCUUAAUUAAUACAAGUUGGAAAUUUAUUCGCUCCUUUUUGUUUCGGUUUGGUCAGUUUUUUCGGCUUCGUUUCGAAUCGGUUUCAGUAUUUUCUGUUUUAUUUUGGUUCUGUUUCGGUUUCGGUUUUUUGUUUCUGUUUGGUUGGUUCAUUCGGUUUCGUUUCGGUUGAGUUUUGAUUUUUAGUUUCGUUUUAAUAGGGUUUUUUUUUUGUUUUGUUUCGGAACGGUUUUGAUCUUUUCAGUUUUUUGUUUAGCUUCAGUUCGGUUUUUUUGUAUUGUUUUGGUCGGUUUUGAUUUUUUAUUUCGAUUUGAUCCAUUUUUUGGUUCCGUUUUAGAUUGCUUUCAAUUUUUCAGUAUUUUUAUUUCAUUUCGUAUUUUUAUUUCAUUUCGGAUCGGUUUUGAUCUUCAGUUUUUUUUUUUGUGUUUCGGUUCGGUUUUUUGUUUCUGUUUGGUCGUUUAUUCGGUUUCGUUUCGGUUCAGUUUUGGUUUUUUGUUUCGUUUUGAUGGUUUUUUCGGUUUCGUUUCGGAUUGGUUCAAUCCUUUCAGUUUUUUUGUUUCGUUUUGUUUUUUUUUUAAGUAAAAUCUAUUUUUUUAAAGCAAUUUUUAACCAACAUGACCCGAAACCCGUUCUGACCUGUACCCGUUCCGACCCGAACAAAAAAAAACAUUUUUUGUAAUUGACCCAUGAUCCAACCCGACCCGAACUGACAUGUUUGCCAGGUCUAUAUUUCAUCAUUAUUUCAGUGUAGUUAAGACAUUUGAUUAUCAUAGUUAAAUGAAUAUAAGAACUCUCUCUGUAGGCAUUGUGACUAGCACUACCGAAAAAUGGAUGGGCUUCUGGAGUGGCAACCUUAUUGUAAUGUGAACUGUAGGAACAAAACCAAAGUUUAUGAAUCAUGUAGAUCAUUUCUUUUAUUUUAAUGCCAAAAAAAGAAUGAUUACUAGAACUAGAGAAAAAGACAUUUGUUUCUAUUUCAUCAUUAUUUCAGUGUAGUUAAGACAUUUGAUUAUUAUAGUUAAAUGAAUAUAAGAUCUCUCUAUAGGCAUCAUGACUAGCACUACCGAAAAAAGGAUGGGCUUCUGAAGACGAAUUUUGACAAGGCCUGGAGUGUUGACCUUUUGUUUGUUGGAGAAAAAGACUUUUUGUUUGUUGGAGCUCCACGGGUCGUUUAAACUUUGCGGACUUAUAAAAUGCCAAUUAAACUUGACUACUUUCGCUUUAUGUUAAACAUGUUAUUUCAUUCUUUUUUAGCAAACAUUAUUAUUAACUUGCAAUCUGUUCCUUUUUAGUGGCAUUUUAUCGAGUGGAACUCGGAAAACUUCUGUUGUGAAACCGCCUCAUUAAGUGCGAGACUCCCUAUUUUUUAUUGUUAUCCAAAGGUAAAACAAAGUUUCUGGUAAUAGUUUUAUCGUCAUCAUGUUAUCCAAGGUAAAACUUAAUUCUCAGUUCCACAUUAUAUAAUUGCGCAACAUUUAUGCUUAAUCGUUAAUGAUUGGCCACCAGUAGUGCCGUCAACAUGAUGAUCUCUUAUGGUUGGUGUUUGGAAUAGCAACACUUGGGUACCAGGGGUUGCCAAGGCGGACCAGCAGUAACAUGGUAGCUCUGUGGUGAACAGUGGCAUCAUCUGCAAAUAUGUGUAGUAGGCAGUGGCGAUGACAAGUGGCCAUGAGAGGGAUGAAGCCAGUCUACUAACAACAAUUGGCGGCUACACAGGUGUCAAGGAGGCAGCUGAUAAAAUAAUAAUUUUUUUUUCAAUGAUAAAAUAUGCUCAGAUACAUAUUUGUAAAAAGGAUAAAAUAAUAUCAUUUUUUUUAAUUUUCAUAUUUGUAGUUCAGAGAUUCACUCUUGAUUUAUGAUUAUAGGGAAGGUGUAUAGAUUGGCAUGAUAAAUUAUCAAGAUGUCAUUCAAAGGACUUGUGCGAGAGCUGAGGGAGAUGCGAGAUGGGAUCGGGAGUAUAUCGAGGAGAGGGAUUGAAGGGAGACAGUGAACUGGAGGAAUCGAUCUAGGUCUCAUAUUGCGUUGGAUGUAGCUCUGGUGGAGAUGGUCAUCAAGGUCAGUCGGCGAACUUGCCUUCAGAAUUGCUGUUGGAUAUAAUUGUUAGGAUCCAAGAGAGUGAGACUUUGUGGCGAGUGAGAACUGUUGUUUAUUGUGCAUCUGUUUGUAAGUCACACCGAACACUUGUUUUUAUUAUUUUUGUUGAGUCAAAUCGAACACUUGUUCAUACCGUUU